rnacentral:rRNA from 1 species
CCUACGGGGUGCUGCAGUGGGGAAUAUUGGACAAUGGGCGAAAGCCUGAUCCAGCCAUGUCGCAUGUGUGAAGAAGGCCUUCGGGUUGUAAAGCACUUUCGGUGGGGAAGAAAGCCUUGGGGCUAAUACCCUCGAGGAAGGACAUCACCCACAGAAGAAGCACCGGCUAACUCCGUGCCAGCAGCCGCGGUAAUACGGAGGGUGCGAGCGUUAAUCGGAAUUACUGGGCGUAAAGCGCGCGUAGGCGGUCUGAUAAGCCGGUUGUGAAAGCCCCGGGCUCAACCUGGGAACGGCAUCCGGAACUGUCAGGCUAGAGUGCAGGAGAGGAAGGUAGAAUUCCCGGUGUAGCGGUGAAAUGCGUAGAGAUCGGGAGGAAUACCAGUGGCGAAGGCGGCCUUCUGGACUGACACUGACGCUGAGGUGCGAAAGCGUGGGUAGCAAACAGGAUUAGAUACCCCAGUAGUC